AUUGUUCGCAAUGGGCGCAAGCCUGACGACGCAACGCCGCGUGGAGGAUGAAGAUCUUCGGGUCGUAAACUCCUGUCGAGCGGGAAGAAACUCACGAGGGUGAAUAGCCCUUGUGGCUGACGGUACCGCUAAAGGAAGCCCCGGCUAACUCCGUGCCAGCAGCCGCGGUAAUACGGAAGGGGCUAGCGUUGUUCGGAAUUACUGGGCGUAAAGCGCGCGUAGGCGGCUUUUCAAGUGAGGCGUGAAAGUCCUGGGCUCAACCUGGGGACGGCGCUUCAGACUGUCUGGCUAGAGUCCGGAAGAGGGUGGUGGAAUUCCGAGUGUAGAGGUGAAAUUCGUAGAUAUUCGGAGGAACACCGGUGGCGAAGGCGGCCACCUGGUCCGGUACUGACGCUCAAGUGCGAAAGCGUGGGGAGCAAAC
rnacentral:rRNA from 1 species